GCCUACGGGGGGCAGCAGUAGGGAAUCUUCCACAAUGGGCGAAAGCCUGAUGGAGCAACGCCGCGUGGGUGAAGAAGGUCUUCGGAUCGUAAAACCCUGUUGUUAGAGAAGAAAGUGCGUGAGAGUAACUGUUCAUGUUUCGACGGUAUCUAACCAGAAAGCCACGGCUAACUACGUGCCAGCAGCCGCGGUAAUACGUAGGUGGCAAGCGUUAUCCGGAUUUAUUGGGCGUAAAGGGAACGCAGGCGGUCUUUUAAGUCUGAUGUGAAAGCCUUCGGCUUAACCGGAGGAGUGCCUUGGAAACU
rnacentral:rRNA from 1 species